rfam:Candidatus Chloracidobacterium thermophilum B chromosome 1, complete sequence.
GGGGAUGACACGGUUUCGACGUGGACAUUAUGAGGUGCACGUGAGGCGUGCCGGGCGUCCAUGCCGCUCGUCAAAAAGCGUGGAAACAAUUACCUGCCGAAACGCAGGAACUCGCUCUCGCAGCCUAAUCACUGCUGAGCCGUCUGCUCAUUUGGUGGCUCGUGCCGAAUGAAGCGGGCGUGACCUUCACGAGCUGGCGGCGACGUUACGCCUGGGGCGUCGCCGCGAGAUAGCACUGGGCUGGUAUCCCGGCGGCUUCAGGUCGCUGUUCCGGCAGCCGGGGUACGAGAAACGACGGAAGCGACUACGCACGUAGUCUCCGGCACCGAAGGUUCGCGGACGAGGGUUCGACUCCCUCCAUCUCCAUCA